UACGGAGGGUGCGAGCGUUGUCCGGAAUCACUGGGCGUAAAGGGCGCGUAGGCGGCCUCUUAAGGGUGCGGGGAAAGUCCGGGGCUCAACCCCGGAUCGGCCGUGCCGACUGAGAGGCUGGAGCACUGUAGAGGCGAGUGGAAUUCCGGGUGUAGCGGUGGAAUGCGUAGAGAUCCGGAAGAACACCGGUGGCGAAGGCGGCUCGCUGGGCAGUGGCUGACGCUGAGGCGCGACAGCGUGGGGAGCAAACAGG
rnacentral:rRNA from 1 species